rnacentral:misc_RNA from 1 species
GAUGAAGAACGUAGCGAAAUGCGAUAAGUAGUGUGAAUUGCAGAAUUCAGUGAAUCAUCGAAUCUUUGAACGCACAUUGCGCCCCUUGGUAUUCCAUGGGGCAUGCCUGUUCGAGCGUCAUUUGUACCCUCAAGCUUUGCUUGGUGUUGGGUGUUUGUCCCGCGUUGCGCGUGGACUCGCCUUAAAGCGAUUGGCAGCCGGCAUAUUGGCCUUGGAGCGCAGCACAUUUUGCGCUUCUAGUCAUGAAUGUUGGCGUCCAUUAAGCCUAUACAUUUGCUCUUGACCUCGGAUCAGGUAGGGAUACCCGCUGAACUUAAGCAUAUCAAAAGCGGAGGA